rnacentral:rRNA from 1 species
CCUACGGGUGGCAGCAGUGGGGGAUAUUGCACAAUGGGGGAAACCCUGAUGCAGCAACGCCGCGUGAAGGAAGAAGGUCUUCGGAUUGUAAACUUUUGUCCUCAGUGAAGAUAAUGACGGUAGCUGAGGAGGAAGCUCCGGCUAACUACGUGCCAGCAGCCGCGGUAAUACGUAGGGAGCGAGCGUUGUCCGGAUUUACUGGGUGUAAAGGGUGCGUAGGCGGACUGGCAAGUCAGUGGUGAAAACUAUGGGCUUAACCCAUAGACUGCCAUUGAAACUGUUGGUCUUGAGUGAAGUAGAGGUAGGCGGAAUUCCCGGUGUAGCGGUGAAAUGCGUAGAGAUCGGGAGGAACACCAGUGGCGAAGGCGGCCUACUGGGCUUUAACUGACGCUGAGGCACGAAAGUGUGGGUAGCAAACAGGAUUAGAUACCCCUGUAGUC